UACGUAGGGUGCGGGCGUUGUCCGGAAUUAUUGGGCGUAAAGGGCUCGUAGGCGGUUUGUCGCGUCGGGAGUGAAAUCAUCUGGCUUAACUGGGUGCUUGCUUUCGAUACGGGCAGACUAGAGGUAUGCAGGGGAGAACGGAAUUCCUGGUGUAGCGGUGAAAUGCGCAGAUAUCAGGAGGAACACCGGUGGCGAAGGCGGUUCUCUGGGCAUGACCUGACGCUGAGGAGCGAAAGUGUGGGGAGCGAACAGG
rnacentral:rRNA from 1 species